GAAAAAGAAAGGAUAUGACAGCAAAACUAUACAUACAGACGCAUUGGGUUACUUACAGUGAGGAAAGGACAUAAAAACAGGUUCCUGAGAGGGGGUGGAAUGUUAUUCCAGCAACGGGUGGCCAUGUACUUGAAACUGCCACGGAAAGCAGCUGUAGCAUGUCGAGGUGUUACCAACUGCACGCUGCAAUAACGUGCGCCAAGUGAUCUACGAGUGGACAUCCAUGACAACUUCUCAAAAAGAUAUGAUGGAGAUUUGUAUUUUACAAUGCCGAAUAGAAGACCCGCUAGAUGAAGCUUGCGACGGUGCAGCAUUUUAAGAACACUGUGUUUAUUCAAAAAUGGAGUCACAUGGCCUCGUGGUGGGAUAUUGAAGCAGAACCGGGCGCAAGCAUUUUGCACCCUCUGUAUAAGUCGCUUUGUUUUUGAUAGGAGACGUGGACCAUACACUAAAUCCAUAUAAUUUAAUUUGGAAAGAACAAGAGCUUCAACUAACUGAGUGCGCAAGGUUUCGUUGAUAAAGGGUCGUAUGUUAUAUAGUACUUUGAGCCUGUAAAAACAGUUUCUAACAGAUUCAGCAACAUGUUUCUCAAACCUAAGUUCACUGUCCAUAAUUAAGCCUAAAUUUCGAGCCUCAUAUACUCGUUCAAUGGGUUCACCUGAUAGGAUUAGAUCUCCAUAAGGUCUGAUUCUGUUCAGCUGAUUUUUGGUGCCAAAUAUUAGAUAUUUUGUUUUAGAAGGAUUGAGCAUCAAACUGUUAUCUGAAGCCCAAGACGCUAUACUUGCAAGGUCCACAUUAAGUUUUUGAAUUGCAGUGUCAAUUUCAGAGGGUUUACAAGUUAUAUAUAUCUGAAUGUCAUCUGCAUAGAUAUGAUACUUGCAGUGUGUAAUGUGAGUUGUGAUGUCCGCUGUAUAUAAGAUGAACAGGAUUGGGCCGAGUAUCGACCCCUGCGGAACACCUCUGGAAAGGGGCAUUUUUCCUGAGAUUUUGGCCGGUCCAUCACUUGAGGACAGCUUUACAUACUGGUGCCGCAAUGUGAGAUAACUAUGAAACCAAUGCAGAGCACUAUUAUCAAAUCCAUAGUAACUUAGCUUUGAUAGUAACAGGUCUAUAUUAAUACAGUCAAAUGCCCUGGAAAAAUCAAGUAGCACAAGCAGUGUACACAUACCCUUAUCUUGUGAGCAAAGAAUGUUGUCUGUGACAUCAAGCAGGGCCGUCACAGUACUGCGCCCUUUCCUGAAACCUGAUUGUACAUCUGGUAAGAUCCCAUUGCUCUCAAUGUAAUCGCUUAAUUGUGUGCAUACAAUCUUUUCCAGUAUCUUAGACAUACAGGGUAGUAUGCUAAUAGGCCUCAGCUCCUUUAGUUCGGAUGGAUUAGUGGUUUUUGGCAGUGGGCGCACAAUAGCCACUUUCCAGGUGUCAGGAAAAGUGGAUGUUAAAAUAGAGGUAUUUAUCACAUCAGUCAAUAAGUCUACAGUAUAUGGAAAUGUCAUGAGUAGCAUAUUUAAAUUAAUUAGGUCAUGUCCCUCUGCAUUCGAUUUGAGUUUAGACACAAUUUUUAGCAAAUUGUCGGAGCUAACUGGUCUAAUGUGAAAUAUAGACUUGUUAUACCUGUUGAAUUCAAAGUAAGUUAACUGCGAAAUACUAACUUGUGAUGCAAUUGGUAAGUCCAAAAAAUGACUAUUUAUAAUAUCGGGGUCACUGAAAGUGGGUGGCAAUUCUAUAUUAUUUUUAGGCAGAAUAGUAGAUUUAAGAUUUUUCCAAAGUGAUUUAGGCUCCUUAAUUUUAUUAUUUAUAUUGUGGUUAAAGUAUGCCGAUUUUUCAUUGUAUAUAGCCUUAUUUACAGUUGACUUUAGGUCCUUAUAAUACAGUUUUUUGCUCUCUGAACCUGUCUUAUGAUAAUCUGCGGCAGCCUUGUCACGUAUACGCAUCAUUAGUUUCACUGUGUCAGUGAUCCAAGGAUAUGAGGGGCCUUUUAUUAUGGAUGUUUUGAUGGGUGCGUGCAUAUCGAAUAAAUAAACCAUGUGCCUGCCUAAUGCUUCGACCUUAUCAUUUACGUUGGGCAUCGCAGACAUCAGAUCCCACCCCACACCACGCAAAUCAGUAUCAAAGAGUGCGAGAUUAAUAUUAUUAAGGGGCCUGUACAGUAUAGUGUAGGGCUUAGGUUUGUUCCGCCUUAUAGUGAACUCGCACAUAACAAUACAGUGCCCAAAAAGUGACCCUACGUGCUCAAUAUUUAUUUUUUUGGCAUUUAAAUCGGUGCAAACCACGUCAAUCAGUGUUUGGCUGGUAUUUGUGAAAUGUGUUGGCUCUGUUACUAUUUGUGCUAAAUUAAAGGUAGAUAAAAAAUUGUUAAGCUUUGUUGUUUUAAUGUCGUUUGCAGUAAAUAAAUUAAUAUUAAAGUCA